GAUGAACGCUGGCGGCGUGCCUAAUACAUGCAAGUCGAGCGAACAGACGAGGAGCUUGCUCCUCUGACGUUAGCGGCGGACGGGUGAGUAACACGUGGAUAACCUACCUAUAAGACUGGGAUAACUUCGGGAAACCGGAGCUAAUACCGGAUAAUAUAUUGAACCGCAUGGUUCAAUAGUGAAAGACGGUUUUGCUGUGACUUAUAGAUGGAUCCGCGCCGCAUUAGCUAGUUGGUAAGGUAACGGCUUACCAAGGCAACGGUGACUAGCCGAAUUGCGAGGGUGAGAGGCCACCCUGGAACUGAGACACGGUACAGACACCUACGGAAGGCAUGAGUAGGGAAUCUUCCGCAAUGGGCGAAAGCCUGACGGAGCAACGCCGCGUGAGUGAUGAAGGUCUUCGGAUCGUAAAACUCUGUUAUUAGGGAAGAACAAAUGUGUAAGUAACUAUGCACGUCUUUACGGUACCUAAUCAGAAAGCCACGGCUAACUACGUGCCAGCCGCCGCCGUAA
rnacentral:rRNA from 1 species